GCCGCAGUAGCUCAGCCUGAUUCCGUGAAGCCUAAAAUGGCUUUUAGGGAGGCUAAGGGGAGCAACUCGCUGAAGACGGGUAUGUCGGGUGUUCAAAUCACCCCUGCGGCA
rnacentral:tRNA from 1 species